GCGGAGCGCGCCCUCUGCCGCGGCGCUGCCGCCGUGACGAUGGUGGCCAGCGGGCGGGCGCGGAAGCUGGCACGGCGGUACCGGGUGGCGGUAGCCACGGCCCUUGCGAUACUCUUGCUCCAGGGACUCGUCCUCUGGACCUCCGCCGGCCUCGACGAGGAGGGUCCGGUCGAGGAGCAGCAGAAAAAAAGCAGGUUGCCUGAGAGCAGCGACAGCUCCAAGGACUCGGACAGCUCUGCCGGGCGCAGAGGCAGCACCAGCCGGAAGCAUGGGCGGUGGCGGGGCCGGCCGGACAGCCCUGGGGCGAUGGUGUCCAAGGUGAUGAGAGCUGUCACAGCAAGACACAAGCCAGGGUGGAGGCUGCCAGCCCUGCUGGACUCCUCCAGCCGCAGGAACCUGUCAGAGAUGCACAGGGAGGCCCAGCUGGCCAUCUUCCAGCAGGGCGACACAGGCAGCGUGGAGGGGGCUCCUCAGCCCACCGAGAACAGUUUUACCCCAAAAUGUGAAAUCACAGGGAAAGAUGCCCUCUCAGCACUGGCUCGGGCCAGCAGCAAGCAGUGCCAACAGGAGAUCGCCAACGUGGUGUGUCAGCACCGGGCAGGCAACCUCAUGCCCCAGUCCGUGCCUCGCCACUGCCAGCUCUUGGGCAAGGUCAGCCCUGUCAUCCAGUGGGAUGAGAGCCAGCUGCAGCAGGUGCCCCCCAGCAAGCCUGUGCGCAUUGCCUACAUGCUGGUUGUGCACGGCAGGGCCAUUCGCCAGCUGAAGCGGCUCAUCAAGGCUGUGUACCACCAGCAGCACUUCUUCUACAUCCAUGUUGACAAGCGCUCCAACUACCUUCAUCGAGAGGCAGUGGAGCUGGCCCAGCAUUACCCCAACAUCCGUGUAACACCCUGGCGCAUGGUGACCAUCUGGGGAGGUGCCAGUCUGCUGAAGAUGUACCUGCGUAGCAUGAAAGACCUGCUGGAACUUGCUGAGUGGCCCUGGGACUUCUUCAUCAACCUGAGUGCCACUGACUAUCCCACAAGGACCAACGAGGAGCUGGUGAUGUUCCUGUCCAAAUACCGAGAUAAGAACUUCCUGAAGUCUCACGGGCGAGACAAUGCCAGGUUUAUCAAGAAGCAGGGCCUGGACCGCCUGUUCCACGAGUGUGACUCCCACAUGUGGCGACUAGGCGAGCGCCACAUCCCUGAGGGCAUCGUGGUGGAUGGUGGCUCUGAUUGGUUCUCGCUGACACGAAGCUUCGUGGAGUAUGUGGUGUACACUGAUGACCAGCUGGUGUCCCAGCUGCGCCAGUUCUACACCUACACGCUCCUGCCAGCUGAGUCCUUCUUCCACACGGUCCUGGAGAACAGUCACGCCUGUGACACCCUGGUUGAUAACAACCUCCGCGUGACCAACUGGAACCGGAAGCUGGGCUGUAAGUGCCAAUAUAAACACAUAGUCGACUGGUGUGGGUGCUCCCCAAAUGACUUCAAACCCCAGGACUUCCUCCGGCUACAGCAACUCUCCAGACCCACCUUCUUUGCCCGCAAAUUUGAGUCGACAGUGAAUCAGGAGGUGCUGGAGAUCCUGGACACACACCUCUAUGGCAGCUACCCCCCCAACACACCAGCCUUGAAGGCAUACUGGGAGAAUGUCUACGACCGUGUUGAUGGGCUCAGUGGCCUCAGUGAUGUCACCCUCACCUUUUACACAGCCUUCUCCAGGCUGGGGCUCCACAAAGCUGCAGCCACACCGGCAGUGAAGGCCGACAAGCUCUGCAGAUUUGAGCCCCAGGGCUUCCCAUCCAGUGUGCACUUAUAUUUCUAUGACGACCGUUUCCAGGGUUACCUGGUGAUGCAGGAAGUGCAGAAUUCAGCAACUGGGCAGGCAGAGUUACUGGAGGUGUGGAUGAUGCCCCAAGGAGCUCUGAAACUGGCAGGUCAUGGAGGGCAGGCAAACCGCUUACAAAACCUUGAGGUGGGAACAGAGUGGGACCCCAAGGAAAGACUCUUCCGCAAUUUUGGAGGUUUGAUGGGGCCUUUUGAUGAGCCAGUGGCCAUGCAGAAGUGGUCACGAGGCCCCAACCUGACAGCCACCGUCGUGUGGAUUGACCCCACCUACAUCAUUGCUGCCUCCUACGACAUCACAGUAGAUGCUGAGGCAGAGUUCACCCAGUACAAGCCCCCCCUCAAUCAUCCCCUGCGCCCUGGCAUCUGGACCAUCCGCCUCCUCCAGUUUUGGGAGCCUCUGGGGGAGAGCCAGUUCCUGGUGGUGCCCCAGACCUUCAACCACAAGCAGCCUCUCAGGAAAGAUGACAGCAACUGGCUGCAUGGUGGUCCCCCUGGCAAUGAGUACAUGGAGCAGAGUUUCCAGGGCCUGGGGGGAAUCCUCAACCUGCCGCGCUCUGAAGAGGCAGAGGAGGACGCUGUGCACAAAGCUCAGCUGACGGGCAAGGAGCUGGAGGACUGGGUGGACGAUGCCAUCAGCACCUUCUGGUCCGUGGCAGAUGUCUGCAUGGGCAGCCCCUCUGCUUGCACCUCCCUGCAGACCUGCAGCAAAACUUCCUGGAGCUCCCUCUCCCCAGAUCCCAAGUCAGAACUGGGGCCUGUCAAACCUGAUGGGCGGCUGAGGUAGCAGAGGCAGCCAGUGGGGCGGUAGCAGCCUUGGGAGCAAGGAAUAUCCUGUCUCCAGCAUGAGGGUGUCUCUGGACUACAUCACCCCAUGACCUUUGCAGCAUAGUCACUCGAGGAAGAGAGAACAGGAAUCCAGGCUGGGUAAAACCUCCCAUGGGGUAUUUGGGCAGAGAGCGAGAUGUGAGCGAGUGGAGGAGCGUGUGGUUCAUGGAUCAAGUCCAACAGGCUGCUGUACACCCGCCUCUGCCUCCACCUCAGCAAAGGACGCUCCGGUCCCCUGCCAAAAUGCCGUCACAGGGCUGGUGUCCUGCUACAGAGAAGACAGCAGUUUGCCAUGCUCAGUUGGGUGCCCUGUGCCAUGACCCCUUGGCACAACCUUUUCUCCCAUAUUGGCAGAAGUUCCUGGGGUCUGCUGUGCUUCCCUGGCCAAGAAGCAAAGAGGCAAGACAUCUGUCUGUCUGGCUCCAUCUGCUCCUUGCCAUUUCUGCUCCCCACCUCAGCUCCAGAGGGAAGAGCUUCCCCCUUCCUCACCAUCCUCCAACACCGCAUUGAGACAUCUGGAUUUGGUUUUCACACUGGGAAAAUGCUUUAGAUCUCGCCUGCAGCCUGAGAAAGGGGGAUUGCCCCUGUGUAGAGCUGGGGCAGGGGAACUGCUGGAGAUGA